UUUGUCCUCAGAAGACACGGUCCCAGCGGGGCCUCUGCCAAGCUUCCAGCAGAUGCUCAGGGGCCUGGACUCCUCCCUGGGAGCACACGAGCCAUGGCCUGGGAGGGCCCCAGGUUAGGGGCACACUCUCAUCCAGGCUAACUCCACUCUCCGGGCCUGGCGAGGAUGGAGAAGAGGUGCAGGUCCAUAGCCAGAGGCAGCAGCAGAGCUCUGUGGAGGUCCAGUGCUGGGCUCAGAUGACUUGGGUAAAUCAGACUUGCUGCCCUUAGGACACCCAUGAUCUGCUACCGACCUGUGGGCCUGGAGGUCAUGCACCUACGUCUGGAUCCCUUUGGGACCUGUGAAAUGUACAUCCCCAGGCCUGCUCCCUGGAAAUAUAAAUCUGUGUGGAAUGAAAGCCUCUUCCUGGCUGCCUGCAGAAGCUAGUCUCCUGACUGCCUUUGGAUCAAGAUGUAGAAUUCUCAGCUCCUCCAGCACCAUAUCAGCCCUGAUGCUGCCAUACUUCCCACAAUGAAGACAAUGGACUAAAUCUCU